UGAGGAUGGAUGGAUGUUUAUAACUUUUUCACUCAAAAACUACUGAUUGGAUUGUGACGAAACUUUAUAGUAUUAUUGUUUAUAAAUCAGAAUAACAUAUAGGCUAUAAUGUAUAACGAUAUUGAGUUGAUUGGCCAAAUCAUAACAAUAAGUGUUAAAUAAGUCGAAAAAAAUCCUGUUAUCUGAGAGCUAUUUUGGCGUGAUUUGCAUAAAAAAAAAU